GGAGACCCAUGGGGCGGCGCACAAUUGGCCCAGCGUCGGUUAGGGGAGGGUUUGGUGGGCAGGGAUGUCCUUGUCCCAUGUGCACUAGUGACUCCUGUGGGUGGCCGGGCGCAGUGCACUCUGACACAGUCGCCAGGUGAACGGUGUUUCCUCUGACAUAUUGGUGUGGCUGGCUUCCGGGUUAAGUGGGCAUUGUGUCAAGAAGCAGUGCGGCUUGGUUGGGUUGUGUUUUGGAGGACGCACGGCUCGAGACCUUCGGGAGUUGCAGCAAUGAGAUAAGACUGUAACUACCAAUUGGAUACCAUGAAAUUGGGGGAGAAAAAGGGGGGGGGAAACAAGUUACAAAAAAAACAAGAAAGGAUUUCAGAUCAAUCUGAGAUGGUGGGUGUCAUGGCUUGCUGAAAUGACAUGGAACCACCCUCUGUCUCAUCUCUCUCUCUCGCUCUUCAUCGCUCUCUCUCUCUCUCGCACCUUUUCAUCUCUCUCUCUCUUCCACUCUUGGCACCUCUUCAUCUCUCUCUCUCUUCCCCUCUUGGCACCUCUUCAUCUCUCCCUCUCUUCCCCUCUUGGCACCUCUUCAUCUCUCUCUCUCUCUUCCCCCUCUUGGCACCUCUUCAUCUCUUUCUCUCUCUCUUCCCCUCUUGGCACCUCUUCAUCUCUCGCUCUCUCUUCCCCUCUUGGCACCUCUUCAUCUCUCUCUCUCUUCCCCUCUUGGCACCUCUUCAUCUCUCUCUCUCUUCCCCUCUUGGCACCUCUUCAUCUCUCUCUCUCUUCCCCUCUUGGCACCUUUUCAUCUCUCUCUCUCUUCCCCUCUUGGCACCUUUUCAUCUCUCUCUCUCUUCCCCUCUUGGCACCUCUUCAUCUCUCUCUCUCUUCCCCUCUUGGCACCUUUUCAUCUCUCUCUCUCUUCCCCUCUUGGCACCUCUUCAUCUCUCUCUCUCUUCCCCUCUUGGCACCUCUUCAUCUCUCUCUCUCUCUUCCCCUCUUGGCACCUCUUCAUCUCUCUCUCGCUUCCCCCUCUUGGCACCUCUUCAUCUCUCUCUCUCUUCCCCUCUUGGCACCUCUUCAUCUCUCUCUCUCUUCCCCUCUUGGCACCUCUUCAUCUCUCUCUCUCUCUUCCCCUCUUGGCACCUCUUCAUCUCUUUCUCUCUCUUCCCUCUUGGCACCUUUUCAUCUCUCUCUCGCUUCCCCUCUUGGCACCUCUUCAUCUCUCGCUCUCUCUCUCUCUCCCUCUUCCCCUCUUGGCACCUCUUCAUCUCUCUCUCUCUCUCUCUCUCUCUCUCUCUCUCUCUCUCUUCCCCUCUUGGCACCUCUUCAUCUCUCUCUCUCUCUCUCCUUCUCUCUCUCUCNNNNNNNNNNNNNNNNNNNNNNNNNNNNNNNNNNNNNNNNNNNNNNNNNNNNNNNNNNNNNNNNN
rnacentral:lncRNA from 1 species